CGGGUGAGUAACACGUGGAUAACCUACCUAUAAGACUGGGAUAACUUCGGGAAACCGGAGCUAAUACCGGAUAAUAUUUUGAACCGCAUGGUUCAAAAGUGAAAGACGGUCUUGCUGUCACUUAUGGAUGAUCCGCGCUGCAUUAGCUAGUUGGUAAGGCAACGGCUUACCAAGGCAACGAUGCAUAGCCGACCUGAGAGGGUGAUCGGCCACACUGGAACUGAGACACGGUCCAG
rnacentral:rRNA from 1 species